UUAAAUUGAAGAGUUUGAUCAUGGCUCAGAUUGAACGCUGGCGGCAGGCCUAACACAUGCAAGUCGAACGGUAACAGAAAGCAGCUUGCUGCUUUGCUGACGAGUGGCGGACGGGUGAGUAAUGUCUGGGAAACUGCCUGAUGGAGGGGGAUAACUACUGGAAACGGUAGCUAAUACCGCAUAACGUCGCAAGACCAAAGAGGGGGACCUUCGGGCCUCUUGCCAUCGGAUGUGCCCAGAUGGGAUUAGCUUGUUGGUGGGGUAACGGCUCACCAAGGCGACGAUCCCUAGCUGGUCUG
rnacentral:rRNA from 1 species